rnacentral:misc_RNA from 1 species
UUGCGCAAGCAUGAGUGGGCUCCAUAUCGGGAGGGUGUCACAUUAAAGGAAAAAGCUACAAACUUUCAGGGAACACCUGUUGACGUGGGUUUGAGUAAGAAUGUUGUAAUUGAUCAAGUUCUUGAACCUGGCAUUAGAGUAACUGUGUUAAUGGGAACCAACCGCAAUUUGGAUGCUGAUUUACCUCGCCAGGUUGUAUCAUUGUCCAAACCUAAAGAGGAAGCAGGAAUAUAUUGGGGCUAUAGAGUGCGGUAUGCUUCAAAUAUCAGCUCAGUAUUUAAUGCUUGUCCGUAUGAGGGUGGCUAUGAUUAUUUGAUUGGUACUUCAGAGCAUGGUCAGAUUAUUAACUCUUCAGAGCUUUCUUUGCCAAUUUUCAGGCAUUUGUUGAUUGCUUUUGGUGGGCUCGCUGGAUUGGAAGAAAGUAUUGAGGAAGACAGUAAUUUAGAGGGUAAAAAUGUUCGAGAUGUGUUUGAUUCAUACUUGAAUACCUGUCCUCAUCAAGGAAGUCGAACAAUUCGAACAGAGGAAGCAAUUUUCAUCUCGCUUCAAUAUUUCCAAGAGCCCAUUAACCGAG